rnacentral:rRNA from 1 species
AGGGGUGCUAUGCUGCAAGUCGAGCGACGCAUGCCCAGUUCGUAAGAACAGGGUAUGACGGAGCGGCGAACGGGUGAGUAACACGUGAGCAACCUGCCCCACAGACCGGGAUAGCCCAAGGAAACUUGGAUUAAUACCGGAUUCCCUCGAACAAUCGCAUGGUUGAUCGAGGAAAGGCCUUUGUGCUGUGGGAUGGGCUCGCGGCUUAUCAGCUAGUUGGUGGGGUAAAGGCCUACCAAGGCAUCGACGAGUAGCUGGUCUGAGAGGACGAUCAGCCACACUGGAACUGAGACACGGUCCAGACUCCUACGGGAGGCAGCAGCAGGGAAUCUUGCGCAAUGGGCGAAAGCCUGACGCAGCAACGCCGCGUGGGGGAUGAAGGCCUUCGGGUUGUAAACCCCUUUCAGGAGGGAAGAAAUUGACGGUACCUCCAGAAGAAGGACCGGCCAACUACGUGCCAGCAGCCGCGGUAAUACGUAGGGUCCUAGCGUUAUCCGGAAUCAUUGGGCGUAAAGAGCUCGUAGGCGGUUCAGCAAGUCGGCUGUGAAAGUCCGAGGCUUAACCUCGGAAUUGCAGUCGAUACUGCUGUGACUCGAGUCCGGUAGAGGAGAAUGGAAUUCUCGGUGUAGCGGUGAAAUGCGCAGAUAUCGAGAGGAACACCAGUAGCGAAGGCGGUUCUCUGGGCCGGCACUGACGCUGAGGAGCGAAAGCGUGGGGGAGCAAACAGGAUUAGAUACCCUGGUAGUCCACGCCGUAAACGUUGGAUACUAGUGUGGCGGUUGUACCAACGACUACCGUGCCGAAGCUGACGCAUUAAGUAUCCGGCCUGGGGAGUACGACGCAGCUAAACUCAAGAUGACGGUCCCCGCACAGCGGCGGAGCAUGCGCUAAUUCGAAUGCAC